UAACCCUCGACCUCGACUGUCGACCCUCAACCUCGACUUUUGAGUCUCGACCCUCGACACUCGACAAUUACCCAAACUCGAGUUGCAAUGGUACUAUCACUUUUGUGAUCGAUUGCUUAUAUAUAAUUUUGGGUAAUUGUCGAGGGUCAUAGGACGAUGGUCGAGACUCAAACGUCUAGGUCGAGGGUCGAGGGUUGAAAGUCGAGGUUCG
rnacentral:miRNA from 1 species